AGAGCGAACGUUGGCGGCGCGCUUAACACAUGCAAGUCGUACGAGAAAAGGGGCAACCCUGAGUAGAGUGGCGCACGGGUGCGUAACACGUAGGCAAUCUUCCCUCGGGAGGGGGAUAACCAUCCGAAAGGAUGGCUAAUACCGCGUAAGACCACAGCUGCUUCGGCAGCAGAGGUCAAAGGGGGCCUCUCCAUGGAAGCUCUCACCUGAGGAUGAGCCUGCGGCCCAUCAGCUAGUUGGCAGGGUAACGCCUACCAAGGCUAAGACGGUAGCUGGUCUAGAGAGGAUGAUCGAGCCCACACGUGGACACUAGAAACACCGGGACCAGACCUCCGUACGGGAGCAGCGAGGUGGGGAAUAGUUGGAACAAGUGGGACGAAAGCUGAUCCGAGCGACGCGCGUGG
rnacentral:rRNA from 1 species